rnacentral:rRNA from 1 species
UGGGGAAUAUUGGACAAUGGGCGAAAGCCUGAUCCAGCCAUGCCGCGUGUGUGAAGAAGGUCUUCGGAUUGUAAAGCACUUUAAGUUGGGAGGAAGGGCAUUAACCUAAUACGUUAGUGUUUUGACGUUACCGACAGAAUAAGCACCGGCUAACUCUGUGCCAGCAGCCGCGGUAAUACAGAGGGUGCAAGCGUUAAUCGGAAUUACUGGGCGUAAAGCGCGCGUAGGUGGUUUGUUAAGUUGGAUGUGAAAUCCCCGGGCUCAACCUGGGAACUGCAUUCAAAACUGACUGACUAGAGUAUGGUAGAGGGUGGUGGAAUUUCCUGUGUAGCGGUGAAAUGCGUAGAUAUAGGAAGGAACACCAGUGGCGAAGGCGACCACCUGGACUAAUACUGACACUGAUUUGCGAAAGCGUGGGGAGCAAACA